rnacentral:rRNA from 1 species
AUAACUCUUGACGGGGGAUCACUUGGCUCGUGGGUCGAUGAAGAACGCAGCG